AUGCCAUGGAGCACAGUGGUGGAUAAGGAAGACAUGGUCUGGCCGUAACAAUUUUGAAAUCUAAUGAAGCAGAUUAAAAAGUCAAUGGAAGCAUUUGAGAAAAAAACACCUUUCAAAGUGAAACUGUAUUAUGUUACUGGAACAUUUGUUAAAAAUCUAUUAACCUCUAAGAAGCCAAGAACAGAAAUUCAGCAAUAAAAGGUAAACGUACUCUCAGAAACCACCUCUGGCCUGAAAAGGGGCCGACUGAAACAUAUACCUAUUUGAAGAUCCCUGGCACACAGAUACAGCAGAAGAAGCCCAAAUGUGUUAUCAAACCAUUGAGAGAAACAGAACUUUCCUCAAAGCCAAGAAACAGCUUUCAAAAGGAAGUUUCCCAAAAACUCUUCUAAAAGUACCAGCAUAUCUUCAAACCAAAUGGAGUCUCGCUUUGUCAUCCGGGCUGGAUGUGGUGCGAUCAUAGCUCUGCCUACUCGAACUCCUGGGCUCAAGCGAUCCUCCUGCUUCAUCCUCGCAAGUACCUGGGACUACAGGCACAUGCCACCACACCCAGCUGAGAGCUUAUUUUGUUGGAUACUAGACAUAUGAAGUACUGAAAUACAAAGGGAUUAGGACUGCAAACAAGUUUAUAAGAUUCCAAGAUUGCAGUGAAUUCGUCUGACCCAGAUACGACAGAAGAUCCUCUCUGGUGAAUAUGUGCAACCGUUCUGAACCUCUCUUUUGAAAACUUUACUCUUCUUCUGAUUUGAUUCCAUAAUUGGAAAUUAAAUGGAAACUCAUGCCUUCCUAAAAGUGUUGUAAUUACAUAUUUUGUAUUUCUUUUACCUGAAGUUGUCUGUUGUCAUCUUAUACAUCUUACUUAGGAGCCAUUGACCUUGUGGCAACGCUCCGAAGCAUCACUCUCUGUUCAAGGCACCACACACCUGCAGUGAAGAUGCAGGGAUUAGGUGUAUGUUUCAGGUGUCUAUAGUAGGCUCAAGUUAGCUCACUUGUCUGGAAACUUCUAAUACCUUCAGAAUCAUAGCCCAGCUUAAAGUCUUAGCCAGUAUUUCUGUGCACAUUUCACUGGUAUUACAAAUCAAUCACUGUCACAUUCACCUCACUCAUCACUGCAGUAAUUAUUUUAAGAACUUGUGCUUGUGCCAUUUUGUAUUCACAAUUAGGUAUAAUUGGC
rnacentral:lncRNA from 10 species